AGCGUUGUUCGGAAUUACUGGGCGUAAAGCGCGCGUAGGCGGAUAUUUAAGUCAGGGGUGAAAUCCCGGGGCUCAACCCCGGAAUAGCCUUUGAUACUGGAGAUCUAGAAUCUGGGAGAGGUGAGUGGAAUUCCGAGUGUAG
rnacentral:rRNA from 1 species